GCGUCCUUAGAUCAGUUGGUAGAUCAUCUGCUCGACACGCAGAAGGCCACAGGUUCAAGUCCUGUAGGACGCA
rnacentral:tRNA from 1 species